rnacentral:rRNA from 1 species
AUACGUAGGUGGCGAGCGUUGUUCGGAUUCAUUGGGCGUAAAGGGUCCGCAGGGGGUAGAUUAAGUCUGAUGUGAAAUCCCUGAGCUUAACUCAGGAACUGCAUUGGAGACUGGUCUACUAGAGUAUCGGAGAGGAGAUUGGAAUUCCAGGUGUAGCGGUGGAAUGCGUAGAUAUCUGGAAGAACACCGAAAGCGAAGGCAGAUCUCUGGACGAUUACUCGACCCUCGA